GCUGGGCGUAGUGGUGGGUGCCUGUAAUCCCAGCUACUCAGGAGGCUGAGGCAGGAGAAUUGCUUGAACCCAGGAGGUGGAGGUUGCAGUGAGCCGAGAUUGCGCCACUGCACUCCAGCCUGGGCGACAGAGCAAGACUCUGUCUCAA
rnacentral:SRP_RNA from 1 species